rnacentral:misc_RNA from 1 species
AUCUAAUCACAAAACAUUCAAGUCAUUUUUUGAAAUGUUAUAUAACGAUGUAGAAACAAUAUUUGUUUGGUCAGUCAAUAUUUUGUACUUAUUGCUUUCUCCAUAAACAUUUCUGUAGGUUCAAGGCAUCCCCUUACUGCAUCAUGUCCAAGUUGGGCUCUUUCGUUGUCUCCAAAUCCAAAGACUCGUCCACAAUUUGUAACAACUACUGUGUGGUAUAAGCCAGUGCUGAUUUGAGAUAUGUGAUGGGAUCUCAAGCUCUCCAGGAUACGAGGCUUCAAAACUUUAUCUGAUGCUCCUCUGUCAAGGAAUCCGAGGCUACCAAAACCCAUCCAGCCAAAGCCAUAAACAGAACCAUCGUCCACAAGGACAAACGUUUUCCUCUUGCUUGCACAAACCUGAACUGCUAGAUGGCUCUUAAGGCUGGUCAAGUGUGACGGAGUAGUCUUAUCAGUCUCAUCACCAUGCCCCAAUGCACCGCAAUAACCUUUCCCCCAAGUAUAUACAUAUCCAGUGGAAUCCAGUGCCACAACAUGCUCAUCUCCAGCAGAAACACGAGCCACAUUAAUGCCCUUCCUCUUAAACGACUGGAUUGCACGUGGCUG